GAAACAUAGAUAAAACUCUUUAGGUACUUAUUUUGUUCUCACUUGCGUAACUUUAUUGUGCAGACGUUUGAAACGGAAAAUUCACAAAUUCGAAUUUGAUAAAAUGGAGUAGUGAACUAGUUAGUAGUUUGAGAAGAUAAUGUAUUAUCUUUCUCUGGCAACUGUCUCUCGAACUGAGUUUUACAUCCGACGUAGUGUAAAAGACAAGAAAGAUAAAAUAUAAAAGGUAUUUGCUUUUGCAAACAGAGACUCGCCUUCGAUCCAAAUAUCUGCACGAGAAGCUGAAAAUAUAACGGAACUACAAGCGACAGAAUUUUGCCGUCCGAUGUUGAAAAUAAGUUUGUAUAGGUAUUCUUGCUGGGAGGUUUUGUGUCAGCGAAGUACGAUGUCAACUCGGUAAAUUGUCUGGGGUCGUCCAUCGUUAGUGCUGUUCUGAUACCCGUCACGACACGCUUGCAAUCUUCGCUUCUCUUCAACUGUUUCUCUGUCCUCUCCUGCGUUGACAUCAAUCUCCUCUGGUCCAACUGCACUUGCCUCACCUUCUUUCUUACUAAAUUUAUGUAAUAAUCUAUUUGAUGUUGGAAAUGAUCGACGGACCAAUAAAAUUUCAAGUCAGCAAGAAUCAUGAGCAAAAACGCAGCGUACAAACAGACUAUAACGACCCCAAAGUAAUAUAAAUUUGGAUCAUGGAUUGAGAAGAAUGGACAAUCGCUGGAAAAAGUGACACAUUCCCAAAAGUAGGAUGGUGUUACAUGGGUGGUAGGCGCUUCGUCCACACGACUCAUGCUGACAAUGCAAUUAAUCUCACAUUAAUUUUAUUAUAUUUGUAUUCAUCCUAACCUAAUUUAUGCAGAUGUGAAGGCUGUCAAAAGUCUGUCACAUAUUUGAUCAGUACAGAUCUACAGAUGGUCUAUGAUAAAGAUGAGAAAAGUUUCCAGAAAACAAAACUUUUUGAAAUAAAUCAUUAAACCAC